CCCUCGUCCAAAAAAUCGCUAUUCGAAGCUCACAUACGGAGAGAGUGUUUGCUCUUUCAUUUUUCACAAGCUUUGGGAAAAGUCCCCGGACAUCCACCUUCCCUCACUCGGAAGCUGGUCGCGGAAACGCGCCGCCAUAGAAGCACUGCGGCUGAUCUCGGCCGCCUGUUCCUUGCCUGUCUGGCACCGCCCGGCUCAUCACUCCAAAGUCGGCCGACUUCUCUGGUACAAGGUUUGCAGCAGUCCGAUUCCCGGGCCGGGGCCAUCAUCAGGACGAAGAUAUGAGUCCGCGCUCUGGCUGUCUGGGACGUGAUUUGCUGUCCUUGUUGCCAGGGUAACUGGCCGAUGGUGGGCUGCCGCUGGUCCGGUCUGGGCUGGGGAGCGUUAUGGCUGGCUCGAGAGAUUUCGUCACGAUUUCACAGAAAUGCGAUUGCUCGCCGUCUGGAAACAGCGGCGAGUAACUCGACGGGGCUCAUUCUUGGUGCGAGG
rnacentral:RNase_MRP_RNA from 2 species